rnacentral:rRNA from 1 species
CCUACGGGGGGCAGCAGUGGGGGAUAUUGCACAAUGGGGGGAACCCUGAUGCAGCGACGCCGCGUGGGUGAAGGAGCGUUUCGGCGCGUAAAGCCCUAUCGGCAGGGAAGAAGAUGACGGUACCUGACCAAGAAGCACCGGCUAACUACGUGCAAGCAGGCGCGGUAAUACGUAGGGGGCAAGCGUUAUCCGGAUUUACUGGGUGUAAUGGGGGCGCAGACGGGAAUGCAAGCCAGGAGGGAAAGGCAGGGGCCAAACCCCGGGACUGCUCUUGAAACUGCAUAGCUGGAGUACAGGAGGGGCAGGCGGAAUUCCUGGGGUAGCGGUGAAAUGCGUAGAUAUAAGGAGGAACACCGGUGGCGAAGGCGGCCUGCUGGACUGUGACUGACGUUGAGGCCCGAGGGCGUGGGGAGCAAACAGGAUUAGAUACCCCGGUAGUC